rnacentral:rRNA from 1 species
AGAUUGAACGCUGGCGGCAGGCCUAACACAUGCAAGUCGAGCGGUAGAGAGGUGCUUGCAUCUCUUGAGAGCGGCGGACGGGUGAGUAAUGCCUAGGAAUCUGCCUAGUGGUGGGGGAUAACGUUCGGAAACGGACGCUAAUACCGCAUACGUCCUACGGGAGAAAGCAGGGGACCUUCGGGCCUUGCGCUAUCAGAUGAGCCUAGGUCGGAUUAGCUAGUUGGUAGAAGUAAUGGCUCACCGAAGGCGACGAUCCGUAACUGGUCUGAGA